GAUGAACGCUGGCGGCGUGCCUAAUACAUGCAAGUCGAGCGAACAGAUGAGGAGCUUGCUCCUCUGACGUUAGCGGCGGACGGGUGAGUAACACGUGGAUAACCUACCUAUAAGACUGGGAUAACUUCGGGAAACCGGAGCUAAUACCGGAUAAUAUAUUGAACCGCAUGGUUCAAUAGUGAAAGACGGUUUUGCUGUCACUUAUAGAUGGAUCGGCGCCGCAUUAGCUAGUUGGUAAGGUAACGGCUUACCACGGCAACGAUGCGUAGCCGACCUGAGAGGGUGAGCGGCCACACUGGAACUGAGACACGGUCCAGACUCCUACGGGAGGCAGCAGUAGGGAAUCUUCCGCAAUGGGCGAAAGCCUGACGGAGCAACGCCGCGUGAGUGAUGAAGGUCUUCGGAUCGUAAAACUCUGUUAUUAGGGAAGAACAAAUGUGUAAGUAACUAUGCACGUCUUGACGGUACCUAAUCAGAAAGCCACGGCUAACUACGUG
rnacentral:rRNA from 1 species